rnacentral:rRNA from 1 species
GACGAACGCUGGCGGCGUGCCUAAUACAUGCAAGUAGAACGCACAGGAUGCACCGUAGUUUACUACACCGUAUUCUGUGAGUUGCGAACGGGUGAGUAACGCGUAGGUAACCUGCCUGGUAGCGGGGGAUAACUAUUGGAAACGAUAGCUAAUACCGCAUAAGGACAUUUACUGCAUGGUAGAUGUUUAAAAGGUGCAAAAGCAUCACUACCAGAUGGACCUGCGUUGUAUUAGCUAGUUGGUGAGGUAACGGCUCACCAAGGCAACGAUACAUAGCCGACCUGAGAGGGUGAUCGGCCACACUGGGACUGAGACACGGCCCAGACUCCUACGGGAGGCAGCAGUAGGGAAUCUUCGGCAAUGGGGGGAACCCUGACCGAGCAACGCCGCGUGAGUGAAGAAGGUUUUCGGAUCGUAAAGCUCUGUUGUUAAGGAAGAACGUGUGUGAGAGUGGAAAGUUCACACAGUGACGGUACUUAACCAGAAAGGGACGGCUAACUACGUGCCAGCAGCCGCGGUAAUACGUAGGUCCCGAGCGUUGUCCGGAUUUAUUGGGCGUAAAGCAAGCGCAGGCGGUUAGAUAAGUCUGAAGUGAAAGGCAGUGGCUCAACCAUUGUAGGCUUUGGAAACUGUUUAACUUGAGUGCAGAAGGGGAGAGUGGAAUUCCAUGUGUAGCGGUGAAAUGCGUAGAUAUAUGGAGGAACACCGGUGGCGAAAGCGGCUCUCUGGUCUGUAACUGACGCUGAGGCUCGAAAGCGUGGGGAGCGAACAGG